AAGCGCUUGUGACCAGACUUGCGCCCGGUUGAUCAUCCAGCGUUCUCGCUGGUGCACUCUGCCGGGCUCAGGCCAGCAUCGGUUUCUCGCGGGGGAUAAAAGCGGUGGGAACGUAGCUCCUCCGGGAGUGUUAUAGCCCGCUGUAAAAUAUCCUGCGAGGGACCGAGGUUCGCGCAUCUGCAAGGAUGCUGGCGUAAUGGUCAUCAGCG
rnacentral:rRNA from 1 species